rnacentral:rRNA from 1 species
AACGAACGCUGGCGGCAGGCAUAACACAUGCAAGUCGAACGCCGUAGCAAUACGGAGUGGCAGACGGGUGAGUAACACGUGGGAACGUGCCCAAAGGUACGGAACAACUCCGGGAAACUGGAGCUAAUACCGUAUGUGCCCGAAAGGGGAAAGAUUUAUCGCCUUUGGAUCGGCCCGCGUCUGAUUAGCUAGUUGGUGAGGUAAUGGCUAACCAAGGCGACGAUCAGUAGCUGGUCUGAGAGGAUGGCCAGCCACACUGGGACUGAGACACGGCCCAGACUCCUACGGGAGGCAGCAGUGGGGAAUAUUGGGCAAUGGGCGCAAGCCUGACCCAGCCAUGCCGCGUGAGUGAUGAAGGCCUUAGGGUUGUAAAGCUCUUUCGCCGAGGACGAUAAUGACGGUACUCGGAUAAGAAGCCCCGGCUAACUUCGUGCCAGCCGCCGCAGUAAAAC